AGCUCUACUGGGUAGUAGAGCAUGGCGUGAACACCGCCAGGGUCAAGGGUUCGAUUCCCUCUGGCGCCA